rnacentral:lncRNA from 1 species
UCAGUAGAGGCAUCAGCCUGCAGAAAGAAAAAUGUGUAAGAGAAGCGCAACAAAAAUCCAAAGGAGUAAACAGGAAAAGGGGUAAAUACCUUUGGCGACGCAGGAGAGACUGCAUCCUGAUUUGCUUUCCCCAAGGAGGCAACAAAAGAGAUGUCAACCGAUAGUGAAGCGCCCACAGCCGGAUUAGGGACCGGUUUGAGGAUGGAAG